CCUACGGGAGGCACCAGUGGGGAAUAUUGCACAAUGGGGGAAACCCUGAUGCAGCGACGCCGCGUGCGUGAUGAAGUAUUUCGGUAUGUAAAGCUCUAUCAGCAGGGAAGAUACUGACGGUACCUGACUAAGAAGCUCCGGCUAAAUACGUGCCAGCAGCCGCGGUAAUACGGAUGGAGCAAGCGUUAUCCGGAUUUACUGGGUGUAAAGGGAGCACAGACGGCAGGGCAAGUCUGAUGUGAAAGUCUGGGGCUCAACCCCGGGACUGCAUUGGAAACUGUCCGGCUAGAGUGCAGGAGAGGUAAGUGGAAUGCCUAGUGUAGCGGUGAAAUGCGUAGAUAUUAGGAGGAACACCAGUGGCGAAGGCGGCUUACUGGACUGUAACUGACGUUGAGGCUCGAAAGCGUGGGGAGCAAACAGGAUUAGAUACCCUUGUAGUC
rnacentral:rRNA from 1 species